CCGCCCGUCACACCAUGGGAGUUGAUUGCACCAGAAGCAGGUGGCCUGACCGCAAGGAGGGCGCCUACCACGGUGUGGUCAAUGACUGGGGUG
rnacentral:rRNA from 1 species